GAUGAAGAACGUAGUGAAAUGCUAUAAGUAGUGUGAAUUGCAGAAUUCAGUGAAUCAUCGAAUCUUUGAACGCACAUUGCGCCCCUUGGUAUCCCGAGGGGCAUGCCUGUUCGAGCGUCAUUUCACCACUCAAGCCUGGCUUGGUGUUGGGCGACGUCCCCUUUGGGGACGCGCCUCGAAACGCUCGGCGGCGUGGCACCGGCUUUAAGCGUAGCAGAAUCUUUCGCUUUGGAAGUCGGGGCCCCGUCUGCCGGAAGACCUACUCGCAAGGUUGACCUCGGAUCAGGCAGGGAUACCCGCUGAACUUAAGCAUAUCAAUAAGCGGAGGA
rnacentral:misc_RNA from 1 species